GCAAGNUCGAACGGNUAAGAUCUCGCCUUGCGAAGAUACACGAGUGGCGAACGGGUGCGUAACGCGNUAUGCAACCGUACCAUUCAACUGGAGAAUAGCCCCGAGAAAUCGGGAUUAAUACUCCAUAAUUUCCAGUUUUCACAUGAUUACUGGAUUAAAGCUCCGGCGGUUGGAGAUGGGCAUGCGUGACAUUAGUUAGUUGGUGAGGUAACGGCUCACCAAGACUACGAUGUCUAGGGGUUCUGAGAGGAUUAUCCCCCACACUGGUACUGAGACACGGACCAGACUCCUACGGGAGGCAGCAGUAAGGAAUAUUGGUCAAUGGACGCAAGUCUGAACCAGCCAUGCCGCGUGCAGGAUGACGGCCCUACGGGUUGUAAACUGCUUUUAUACGGGAAGAGUCCCCUGUACGUGUACAGGGUUGACGGUACCGUACGAAUAAGCAUCGGCUAACUCCGUGCCAGCAGCCGCGGUAAUACGGAGGAUGCAAGCGUUAUCCGGAUUCAUUGGGUUUAAAGGGUGCGUAGGCGGAAUGAUAAGUUAGUGGUGAAAGCCCCCGGCUCAACCGGGGAACUGCCAUUAAUACUGUCAUUCUUGAGUAUAGUUGAAGUGGGCGGAAUGUAUCAUGUAGCGGUGAAAUGCUUAGAUAUGAUACAGAACACCAAUAGCGUAGGCAGCUUGCUAAACUAUAACUGACGCUCAGGCACGAAAGCGUGGGGAGCAAACAGGAUUAGAUACCCUGGUAGUCCACGCCGUAAACGAUGAUCACUCGCUGUUGGCGAUACACAGUCAGCGG
rnacentral:rRNA from 1 species